rnacentral:piRNA from 1 species
UGGAUAACUGUGCUCUGUUGGACUCA